AGACAUGUCAGACACAUAAGAGAGGCUUAAUUGGAAGAUAUCACUGGAUAAUAAGUCAGCCAAAAGCUAAGGCACAACACACAGGGUGGGGCACUGUCCAGGGCAGGGAGUCUGUCAUUGAUGAGAAGGAGACUUCUGCUUCUGAGUUUUCUCCUCCUGGUGCUAUCAUUCAUUGAUUUCUCACCUGGUGAGAAUGGAUCAGCAAUUGACUUGAUUAAAAAGAGGAUGCCUAAGAAGAGAUAGAUGCCCUGGAUGCUCAAACCAGGCCUGUACACCCUGAGUCCUGAACCAGGACCUAAAAUGUCUCAACUCUUUCCCAUGGCUCUGGGGGUUCUGAGCAUGGUAAGGUGGUUGGCACCAAUGGAGCAGAGAUUAGUUUUGUGCAAACAAGCUGGAAGACAUCUGAGGGACAGGAAGUAGAAAGGUGGGGAGGUCCCAAGCAACUGGACUGCCUUCGGUACUGCCAGCUCAGCAAAGUCAUACCUCAGCAACCAGCUUCUUGGUAAACUACCAUCCUCUUCUAACUCUUAGCUGGGAUGGUGGAUGCCUUCUUAACCCACCCUGUGUGUGCCAAGCACGCCACCAAAGCCAGAUCACUUGAUGUCUCACUGUAACCAGUGUGCUUCGGGUCCUGUGAGUUCCUGUUAUUGGCUGCUUUCUAUGCAGAACAUCACAAUUCCACCAGCUAUGCAGCGCUGUUGUUGGGGUGAGCCUGUGGGUACUGGUUAGGACUCUAUAGUUAUUUCAUGUUCACUGGUGAUGCAGCUAGGCAUUCUCCCAACAAAGUAGCUGAGUUUGGGGCAGCCCCUUUUUAAAUCAGGAAAUCAGGAUGCCCAGAGCCAAAGGAAUGUCACGCCAAGGAUAGCUAGGUCAGGCUGUUGCCCUCUGCAGGGCCAGAACACAGGCCUCUGCUCUGUUUAUUCCUUUGGUUUGAUUUUGCAGCAUGUGAACUUUAUUAAAGCUUCUGGAUCAUUCAACCAAA
ensembl:antisense Gm44506 predicted gene 44506